rfam:Angiostrongylus cantonensis strain Taiwan genome assembly, scaffold: ACAC_scaffold0001906
GCCUCCAUAGCUCAGUGGCAGAGCAUCUGUCUUGUAAACAGAAGGUCGGUGGUUCGAUCCCGCCUGGAGGCA